rnacentral:rRNA from 1 species
AUUGAACGCUGGCGGCAGGCCUAACACAUGCAAGUCGAGCGAGCGGCGGACGGGUGAGUAAUGUCUGGGAAACUGCCUGAUGGAGGGGGGUAACUACUGGAAACGGUAGCUAAUACCGCAUACCAUCAGAUGUGCCCAGAUGGGAUUAGCUAGUAGGUGGGGUAACGGCCCACCUAGGCGACGAUCCCUAGCUGGUCUGAGAGGAUGACCAGCCACACGUGAACUGAGACACGGGCCAUAAUCCUACGUGAGGCAGCAGUGGGGAAUAUUGAACAAUGUGCGAAAGCCUGAUGCAGCAAUGCCGCGUGAUUGAAGAAGGCCUUCGGGUUGUAAAGCACUUUCAGCGGGGAGGCGUUACCCGCAGAAGAAGCACCGGCUAACUCCGUGCCAGCCGCCGCGGUAAUAC